ACUCCUACGGGAGGCAGCAGUGGGGAAUAUUGCACAAUGGGCGCAAGCCUGAUGCAGCCAUGCCGCGUGUAUGAAGAAGGCCUUCGGGUUGUAAAGUACUUUCAGCAGUGAGGAAGGUGGGUAUGUUAAUAGCAUAUUCAUUUGACGUUAGCUGCAGAAGAAGCACCGGCUAACUCCGUGCCAGCAGCCGCGGUAAUACGGAGGGGUGCGAGCGUUAAUCGGAAUUACUGGGCGUAAAGCGCAUGCAGGUGGUUUGUUAAGUCAGAUGUGAAAGCCGGGGCUCAACCUCGGAAUUGCAUUUGAAACUGGCAAACUAGAGUACUGUAGAGGGGGUAGAAUUUCAGGUGUAGCGGUGAAAUG
rnacentral:rRNA from 1 species